GGGGCCGUAGUCUAGCCUGGAUAAGGCACCAGCCUGCGGAGUUGGUAAUCCCCGGUUCGAAUCCGGGCGGUCCCG
rnacentral:tRNA from 1 species